rnacentral:rRNA from 1 species
GACCAACGCUGGCGGCGUGCUUAACACAUGCAAGUCGAACGGAAAGGCCUCUUUCGGGGGGUACUCGAGUGGCGAACGGGUGAGUAACACGUGAGUAACCUGCCCUUGACUUUGGGAUAACUUCAGGAAACUGGGGCUAAUACCGGAUAGGAGCUCCUGCUGCAUGGUGGGGGUUGGAAAGUUUCGGCGGUUGGGGAUGGACUCGCGGCUUAUCAGCUUGUUGGUGGGGUAGUGGCUUACCAAGGCUUUGACGGGUAGCCGGCCUGAGAGGGUGACCGGCCACAUUGGGACUGAGAUACGGCCCAGACUCCUACGGGAGGCAGCAGUGGGGAAUAUUGCACAAUGGGUGGAAGCCUGAUGCAGCAACGCCGUGUGCGGGAUGACGGCCUUCGGGUUGUAAACCGCUUUCGCUCAUGACGAAGCUUUGUGUGACGGUAGUGGGUAAAGAAGCACCGGCUAACUACGUG